CCGAUGUGAAGCCAGCACAGAGGAACUGCUUCCAGGUCUCCCACAUGGGUGCAGGGACCCAUGCACGUGGGCCAUGUUCCUCUGGGUUGCCAGGCCAUAAGCAGAGAGCUGGAUCAGAAGAGGAGCAGCCAGGACAUGAACUGGCACCCACAUGGGAGGCUGGCUCCUCGGCAGAGGUUUAACCCACCAUGUCACAGCACCGGCCCCAGAAGAUAGUUUCAUUGGAAGGCCGAGUGACACAGAGAGAAGCAUAGACUGAGAGAGAGAGAGAGACCUCUCAACUGCUGCUGGUUCAUUCCCCAGUGAUCUCUAGGUCAAGUGAGAAGCCAGGAGUCGGGAACUGCACCGGGUCUCGCCCAAGACAGUGGCCUAGACCCAAGGACUGGGGCCACAUCCUCUGCCUUCCCAGCACAUGAGCAGGGAGCUGCAUCAGAACCUGAGCCGCAGGCACGUUAACAUGGAGCUGCAUGGGAACCCAAGCACCAGGAAUUGCACCAAUGUCUCAGUUAAGGGUUCCGGGUGUUACAAGCUGCAUCAUUGCAUUCGGAUGAAGUUGGCCAGCACCCUUUCUAUGCUUUGUGAGUAAUUAACUUAUAAAUUUAUUAAUUAAUUACUGUAAAUCUUAAAUAUUCGCUUUGCUAAGUUGGAGCAGGAAUAGGUAUUGCAGGUAUAUGGGGAAUGUACUGAUUUAAGUUCUGUUUUCUCUCUCUCUUCCUCGCUGUCUCCGACAAACCAUAGCUACCUGGUUGUUUCUUUCAGUUACGGAUCUUUUUGAUCCUGGAAGGUCAACUUCAGCAAUGUGCAUCUUUUGCAAUAGGUCUGACAUUCACGAGGGUGCCUGUGUCCCAGCUUGCAGAGCCUCGGUUGAGGCGCAGCCCCCACUGGGCAUUCCAGCUUGCUGGGGACACAGACUGCAGCAGGCAGCAGGUGAGGGUUGAAGCACUUGGGAUCCUGCCACACACCCUGGAGGCCUGCAGUCAAAUUCUGGGGCCCGUCUACAGCCUAGUCCAGCACUAGUGUUUUGAGAAAUGUGGGAGGGAAAUAGCAGAUGGGAAUUGGAUCUGCCUGUUGGUAUUUCUGUCUCUGUGUCCCUCUCCUGGUGACAUAGUGCUCCUUAAGAUUUCUUUCAUUAAUUGGAAAGGCAGAGUGAUAGACAGAGGGAGACAGACAUGGUCCAAAGUGGUAUUCCCUGUGGUUGGCAAGGGCCUGAGUACUUGGGCUGUCUGCUUCUUGUUUCCCAGGCACGCUAGCAGGGAGCUGCAUGAGAGGCAGAGCAUCGGCAGUGGAACCCCAGCUCCUGUGUCUAUGCCCAGGUUGGAAGCAGAGACUUAACACCCUCAGCCACGGAGCUAGCCAGCUCCCAGCCUUACGUCAAUUCAUAAUGAAUAAAUUCAUUGAUUGUUGGUAAAACCUGCCUUCCAGUGGAGCUGUCACGUAUAGGGAGGGAAUGCAUACUGCUGGGAUUGGGGGACUGAACCAGCACAUAGGACUGCGUCCCUUUCUGGUUCUCCUUGGCUAUCUGUCUGCCAUUCUAACUAACAAAAUUACACACUGUAUUGAAAUUUUGACCAUAAUAUUUGUCUGUUUGCUCCUCCUCUGAGAUUCCUGCAUCCAUUCAAAAGGCAGGGUUUGAGAGCCAGAGGGUCACAAAGUGGGAGAGGUUCAGCGAUCUUCGAUGUGCCAGAACCCUCCCCAGCUGUCUGCAGUUGCCUGGGCUGAGUUUGGCUGAAGCCAGGAGCCCACAAGACCAUCAGGUGUUGACUGAGGGUGUCACGGAGUCCAGGGAUCCUGGUUGUCCUCUGCUGAUUUCCAGGUGCAUUCUCUGUGAGCUGUAUGCCAGUGGAGCAGCAGUUACUCAAACCCACGUGCAAAUGGGCUGCCUGGCUAGGGCACCAGUGUCUCAUUCACCUGCCUCACCAUGAGUCUGGGCACCAGAAGCUGGACGGGGGACCAUGAGCUGGGGGUGGACAUGGGGACUGGUGGGUGUGACACUCCCUGUGAUGCUCACACCCCACGUGGGAGGGCCUGGCGUCCAGUGCAGGCUCUGCUCCAGUUCUGACUCCUCCCAGACACACUGUGGGAGGCAGCAGGUGAAGGACAGGGGAACUCAGUCCCUACCGUCCAUGUGGGAGAGCUGGGAUCAGAGAGCCCACACAGAGAGAGAAAGGACACCUCUCAUCCCAAGUUUGCCAGCACUCACUCUCAUUUUCCAGUCCAUUGUUCCUGUUGUGGGAUCUUGCCAGAGAACCUGGUGACCUGGAUUCAGAUCUGGGGCCUGGCUUCCUCUGGCCCAGUAGAUGACCACAGCUGCUGUUGCUGCAUCGAUGUGAAGCCAGCACAGAGGAGCUUCCUCCAGCAGAGGAAAACAGAAAUCAGACACAGAGAGAGAAGAUAUACCUCCCCACUGAAGUUCUCCAGCACCCUCUCUGUUUUUGCAGGUAAAUUAUCUGCUAAUUAAUUAAUUAACUAGUAAGGAACCAUGAGGAUUGCGUCAUUUGGGGACAGCACUAGCAAAUGGAAGAGCUCUUCUCUCUUGCACACUGUCAGAGUCCAUCUAUAGCAGUCCAUGUGGGAUCCCGCCAGAGAACCUGCAGACCAGGAUUCAGAUACUGGGCCUGGCUUCUGCCUGGCUUAGAACUAGGUUUUCCCAACAACUGCGGAGGGAAAUAGCAGAUGGCAGUUUUUGUCUGUCCAUCUGUCCAUCACCCUUAGUUUCUCUGGCGUUUAUUGAUUGUGUUGAGAGAUCUUUUAUUUCUGUGAAAGGCAGAGUGUCACAGAGAAGCAGAGACAGAGAUAGAGACUUCUCAUCUGCUGGUUCACUUCCCAGAUGAUCUCAGAGGCUGGGUGUGGGCCAAAUGGGAAACCAGGAGAAGGGAACUUCACUGAGGUCUCCCUCCCUGUUGUGUGGGCCUGUGGACUUGGGCCACCUUCCUCUGCCUUCUCAGGCAUGCUAGCAGGGAGCUGCAUCCAGAACCUGAUCUCCUGGGGAAUCCUCCCCUGCUCAGAUAUACGUUGUGGGAGUUGUAAGCUGCACCAAAGCUUUCUGCUGAAGUUUUCCUGCACUCUGUGCACUAUCACAGGUAACCAAGCUAUUAGUUGAUAAAUAAAUUACUACAGAUCUUUUUUUUUUUUUUGACAGGCAGAGUGGACAGUGAGAGAGAGAGAGACAGAGAGAAAGGUCUUCCUUUGCCCUUGGUUCACCCUCCAAUGGCCGCCGCGGCCAGCGCACUGUGGCUGGCACACCACGCUGAUCCGAUGGCAGGAGCCAGGUACUUCUCCUGGUCUCCCAUGGGGUGCAGGGCCCAAGCACUUGGGCCAUCCUCCACUGCACUCCCGGGCCACAGCAGAAAGCUGGCCUGGAAGAGGGGCAACCGGGACAGAAUCCGGUGCCCGGACCAGGACUAGAACCCGGUGUGCUGGCGCCGCAAGGCGGAGGAUUAGCCUAGUGAGCCGCGGCGCCGGCACUACAGAUCUCAAGGUUUUGCAUUUCUAUGACAGGAGUAUCAUGGUGCAUUGUGGAAAUUGGAGACUGUACUAGCUAAUGAAGAAUUCAUUUCUCGCUCUCUUUCAUGCUCUCUCAGUCCACCUGGAGAUAGCUGU